UCAAAUUUUAAUGAAUGAAAUACGUACAUGAUUUUAAUUGAAAGAAUGACCAAUCGAGGCACAGAAAAUCAUGAACAUAAAUCACAUAAACUUCUUCAAAUUGAUGUAAUCAUUUUAGCUAAACAAAAUUAAGCUAUCAUUGUUAAUGAAAAAACAACAGAUCAAAUUGCAAACAUGUUGAACAACAAUAAAUAUUAAGGAAGAAAAAUCUCUGAAAUAAUUUCGACAAUCCUCUAAAAAUUGAUCAUGAUGGCUUAUCCCUAUCUCGUAAUUGCUCCUCAAGGUGGCUAGCCAAAAGAGAAUUUUCUUAAAGAAUUGCUAGCUAAAUGGAAGGAAAAUGGAUGGUUUAUGUGUGAGAGGUAAAUGAAAGAUGUGAGUUGAGGGAUUGAGAGAUUAUUGAAUGGUGAGGGAAGAGGGAUGAAGGAUGAAUGAAUUGGAAGUAAAGGGUGAUAUUUAUAAUAGAGGGAUGGUUAAGAAGUUUACUAAAAAUAGUUUAAAUAUCCCUUAAAGUUCUCCUUUGCUUGGCCGUCCAUGAAUUAUGGAAAGGGGAGGUUGUUGGCUGCUUGAUUCAUGCUUGAUUUCAUGCAUGAAUCAAGCAAGGAGGUGGAUGAUUUCUUGGGUAAAAGUUUAGUGUCGAUUUUUAAUUCUUUUACAAGUGUAGGGACCUCUGAAUAAAUCUUUCAAAAGUUGAUUUUGAGCUGCUCAUAUGCCCUUACCGAUUUGGGCUUCUUUCCCCCUUGCUUGGACAAUUUUGUGACACAAUUACUUGUCAGACUUGUUCUUCGAUUAAACCAACUUUAACUAGAUCAAAGUGACAUUCUCCUGACCCAAUUUGCUUGCCUUUUCCGUCCAAAUAAGGUAGAAUAAAGCUCAUGUCCAUGUAUAAUUAAAAUAAGCUUCACAAAUUAUUAACUCCAUGGUCCCACUGCAACAAUUAAAUACAAGAAAUUAUUAUGUAGCACGAAAUAAUUAAAUUAUGCACAAAUUUAAUACAUAAAAGCAUAAAAUUGCAUACUUAAUCAUGUCCACUAUCUCAAUAUAAACAAAACUCAUCCAAUUAGCUAUCAAAUAUUCAGGAUUAACUUAAUUUUUUAAGUAAAAAGAUUCCAUAAACAACUAUAAAAACUCUAUAUAAUUUAGAGUUUACACACCCCCAAACUUAAUCCAUUGCUCAUCUCGAGCAAUGCAAAGCAAAACUUUAGAUAAGGUAAUCUUGCAAUAAGUUUAAGUAGAAUCAACUUUUGCACAUAAACAUACAUCAACAGCUCACAAACUCUUUUUAUUGAUAAGUCACUCAUAUGCAAACAUUAUUUCAUAAUUUUAUACUAAGUACAAAAAAAUGCUAACAUAAGUCAUAGAGUGCAUUUUUUUCAAGGUCAUAUGUAACAUUCACCAUUCAAUCAAAGUUUGCUUACCAAUCAGAUAAAACAAUCACAAGGUUUAAUUAGUGGUCCUCAUAUGUUGAACUUAACAAUUCAUCUCCACUAAUGUAGUUGGCAUAAUUAUCAAAAUCAUUAGGUCUUUUAUAGGAUUGUAAUGGGGUUAGGCUCAAGAUAAGGGUAAAGAGAAGUAAAUUUUUAGGUUUAAUAAUCCUAACCCUAACUUUAUCUUGAAUCUUUUCGAAGUACAUCCUUCCUACUAAUAGGUUUUAGCACACCCAAACUUAAUCUGAAGCUUAUGCCCAAUAAUAUUUUUCAAUAUUUGAGUAUUUAUUUUACUCUUUUUUUGCUUUACAUUUGAAUAGAUCUCUCUCUCUCUCUCUCUUUCUUCCUCUCUUGAACAUACAAAGAACAUAUACAUCUUUUUGAAUUUUUCCUUAAAUUUUGAUCACCAAGACAAGUAGAGUUAAGAUUGGUGUAAUAAAAUAGGAUAAAACUUAAAAAGAUGGUAAUAUGACUAUGAUGUAGGUGAAUAGCAAUAAAAUAGGCUUAAAGGCUCAAACUAGUUUUUAAGGGUUAAAUUCAUAUAGUAGGCUUGAAAGGCUCAAACAGUCCAAAGAAAAUGUGCCCAUAUCAUGUUUAGAUUCUUAUGCCUCCUAAGAUUUUGCCUUAAGAAAGUUACUAAGUCAAUUCUAGGGACUUAAACCUUCAUGCCACAGUCUGUUUCUAAGAAAAUUAAAUUUUCAUAGAAAAAGUCUAUAUAAGACUUCAAAACAUACAAGCAUUUCAUAACUUAAUAUAACAUAAAAAAACUUAGAUAAAAUCAGAAGUCAUAUUUGUAUUUGAACUAACUUAUGAACAAUUUUUUUUCUGAACAUUAUUUUAUUUUAGCAUACUUAUGUGUAAAUAUUGAACCUACUCCCUCCUUAAAAAGAACCAAUGUCCUCAUUAUGUAAACAAAGUAAUGAAUGAGAACUGAACACCAGGUAAGAUAACAACAAAUUCAAUGGCGUGUUUCUUAUUGCCAAAUUCGCUUUGUAAUGAAUUGGAAAGCAUAAUUGGAAAAUUUUUGUGGCAAAAAGAAGCAUGGGAAGCGAUGAAUUUAUUGGUGCGAGUGGAGGAGAUUGUGUAAGUUAAAAGAAGACAAGGAUUUAGGAUUUCAAUGCUUGUCAAAAUUUAAUCUAACAUUAUUAGCAAAACAAGGUUGGCGUCUUAUUUUUUAUCCAAAUUAUUUAUUGGCAAGAUCAUUAAAGGCUAAAUAUUAUCCAUAAACAAAUUUCUUAAAUGCUAUGUUGAACAAUUUACCUUCAUAUGCCAGGAAAAGUGCAUGGGCGACAAAAGGGCUACUAAAGAAAGGUUUGUGCUGGCGAAUCAGAUCUGGAAAUCAAUCUUUGGUUUGGGAAGAUGCGUGGGUGCUAGGUGCUAUGGAUUUCAAAAUUUAAACACAAGCAAACAAUCAGCAUAUACGUCAUGUGUCAGAUUUAAUUGACCAAACUACUAAUAGCUGGAAGGAAGGGGUAAUUAAAACUAUCUUUAAUGAAGAAAAGGAUGAAACGAUUUUGUGUAUCCUUCUUCCAUACGCACCAUAAGAAGACAAACUGGUAUGGCGAGGUAAGGCUUCUGGCGAAUACUCGAUAAGGAGCAGAUACAACAUGAGUACAACACUUUUGUACAAAAAAACUAUGGUUCCUGAAUCUACCUUCUAAAAUAAAAAUUAUGAAUUGGAGGAUCUUCAAUAGCUAUUUUUCUAUCCAAUUUAAUCUAUACCAAAGGAGGUUGGUGGGAUCUGCAAAUUGUCCUAAAUGUACAACUGAAGUGGAAAAUAUUGAGCAUGCCUUUUGGGAUUGUUUAGCUACAAAGGACACAUGGAGAAAGUUAGGCAUAGAUUGGCUGCUAGAAUUAAAUGAACGCCAACUUAAAGACUGGAUGUUGUACCUUUACAACAAUGGCUCAAUACAAAAUUGCCGAAUAAUAGCCUGUUAAUUCUGGGCUUUGUAGACAGCUAGGAACUAAUACCUACAUAAGGGGAUACUUCGAAUAAAAAAUAGCUAGUUUUAUCACAGGUUACAUACAUGAACUAAAGGAAUUUAACAAAAGGUUACCUAAACGAAGAAUAGUGGGGGAACGGUGGAGACCAUCGGAGGAAUCGUUUGUAAAAAUUAACUUUGAUGUUGCGUUUCACAAACAAAGCAAUAGUUCAUGCUCAGGGAUAGUGGUCAGAGAUUCAAGGGGGAGGGUGUUAAUUUUUACAAUGCGCCUAAAUGAGCAUAUACCAAUUGGGUUUGUAGUAGAGGUGAUUGCCUGUGUCUAGACGGUUCAAUUUGGGCUAGAUCUAGGAAUAGUAAAAGCUGAAAUAGAAGGCGAUGCACUAUCAGUCAUAAAAAAGGUACAAUAUGGAAACAUAGAUAAAUCGAAAAUCAGUGCUUACGUUUUAAGCACAAAAAUGCUAAGCUUUGGCUACAAACCAUUCCUAUUUAAACAUACCUCGAGAAUGGAUAAUAAAGUGGCGCAUGCAUUAGCAGUAGAAGGGCUUAAAAGAGCCGAGGUUACUCACCUGCAAAAUGGAUUUCCCCAGUUAGCUACAAUAGAGGCGGAAGAAGACUGUCAAAGGGUAUUGUCAAGAGAAUAAGCAACGGAGUAAAAGCAGCAUGAAAGAUAAAGAAAAUUUGGUAAGAUUGAUAAAGGGCUAUUGUUGCUUGAGGGAUUUAUUGAACGAAAAUCUGGUCAAAAUAAGUUUUGAUAAAAUAAAGAGAUUGGGUUGGGGGGUACCUCGGUUUCAAGCUGAUUAAAUAUCAGCGUUCUUGAGGAGUUGUGAACUCUUAGGAAGAGGUGCCUCUGCUUCUGCCUCGAGGUACGACGAAACGAACGAGCAGUGGAAAAGAAAGAAAUACCGGGUUCUGGACGUUUUCAAGAGUAGUUUUGAUCGUCGGAAAGGUUGGUUUGUUAGGAGUGAUUGUUUGUUUUUCUGCUUUUUUUCUUUUUCUUUUUGUUUUAGGAAACCGAUGGGGUUUCUUUAGGGCAAUAUUAGGUUCUUGGUUCUUUAUUUAUGAGCUUAUUUUACUCUUUAAUUUUAAUGAAUGUAAACUGUCUUUUUUUUUUUAAAAAUAACAUAAUAUAUUUUAUUAGAGUUCAAUGUUAUAUAAAGUUUUGCCUUUAAUUUUUAGGAAUUAAGUGUAGCAUUUAAUUUUAUGUUGUUAGUUAAAA
rnacentral:lncRNA from 1 species